UACGAAGGGGGCUAGCGUUGCUCGGAAUUACUGGGCGUAAAGCGCACGUAGGCGGCUUUCUAAGUCGGGGGUGAAAUCCUGGAGCUCAACUCCAGAACUGCCCUUCGAUACUGGAAAGCUCGAAGUCCGGGAGAGGUGAGUGGAACUGCGAGUGUAGAGGUGAAAUUCGUAGAUAUUCGCAAGAACACCAGUGGCGAAGGCGGCUCACUGGCCCGGUACUGACGCUGAGGUGCGAAAAGCGUGGGGAGCAAACAGGG
rnacentral:rRNA from 1 species